GUUCUCUAGGACAAAGAAGUGCAGCCAUCAAGAGCAACACUCCGGGUGGUGGAGGAGGGGCCAUGGGGCAUCUGCUCUGGCAGCCAUGGGAACUCUGCCUCUUAGCCCAGACCACUGCAAGCCCACAACACCAGCCCUUGUGGCACCAGGGCUGGCAGGAUCCUGGGGAGGAGCUUACCAGGCUGCACAAUCACAGUCACUUGAGCGGUGGCCUGCUGUCCUGCGGUGUCCGUCACUGUGAGCUGGUAGGUAUAGUCUCCUUCUUGCAUCGCAGACAGCUGCAGGGCUGGUGUUCUAACUCCCUAUGUGCAGAAAGUCAGGCAUGGGUAAUGACUCCCAGGACUACAGCAGUACACACAGUGCUCACUCGGAAAGAAAUGCUUGAGCCAGGUCUUUAAACCUAACUUGGUACGGGGGUCCCCGUUCAGCACACUGAGUGACCACUGACAGGACAGCGUGAGACACGGUACUAAAUAAAGACUUUCUAUAGACCUGUGACAGCAGAGAAACCUAUCAAAACACAUGAACAAAGCCAGGUAAAACAUGCUUUGCAUCAUACCUCUAGAAACCUGAAGCUGCAGAGCCCUUCCUGCCUAUCAGAAGGAACAUUGGAGGAAAACCGCCAAUGCAGGGGCUUCCUUGGCCGGCCAGGGCUGAUCCCUGCUUGCAGGGAUUGCCUAUCCUGUAGUGCUCCAUGUUGGAAAAUUCCACCCAGGAGUCUCAUUUCUGUCUGCUCUUAGCAAGGCUGUCAAGUAGCACUAAGAUCAUCUCUCUAUGUGACAGCAGCCAGCAGGACCCAGGAGCAGCAGAUUCCUGCUCACCACAGCCUAGCCCAGGUCACUCAUUUUACAGACUUCUGGGGAGGACAUCUUUUAGCUAGAUGAUCUACUCCAAUGAGCUUAGGAAGGUUUGCACGCUGGUGGCAUCUGUGUAGUGUGACCCUCUGGAUUGGGUCAUCCAUAAGAGACAAGUUUUUUGGUUUUUUUUUUUUAAAGAUUUAUUUAUUUUAUGUAUGUGAGUACACUGCAGCUGUCUUCAGACACACCAGAAGAGGGCAUCAGAUCCCAUUACAGAUGGUUGUGAGCCACCAUGUGGUUGCUGGGAAUUGAACUCAGGACCUCUGGAAGAGCAGUCAGUGCUCUUAACCUCUGAGCCAUCUCUCCAGCCCAAGAGACAAGUUUCUUACCUCGCCUCCUAAUACUAAAAGUUUCAGAUAAUCUGUUAAUCAGACCAGCAAUUUUCUGAAUUUAUUUAGGGUGUAAAAAAUCUAAAUGCACAAGCCUGACUUUGGGAAUAAAAUGGGGCAGAGAUAAACCCUAAGUAGCAGAUGAAAUCCAGAGACUCCCUGCCCCCUGAGAGAGAAGGUGAGUGGUCCCUCCUACCUGCAUCUCCACCACCUUCCCUUUGCUGCUCGGGCUAAGUGACCACUCGUAGCUGCUGAUGCCGUGGUCAUCAGUGCUCUGGUUCCCAAAGAGGGUGAUGGAGUUCUGGGGCAGGGUGAUCACUUGGUUGGGGCCGGCAUUGGCCACGGGAGGGUAGUCCACAGCUUUGUUCACAGUCAGACUUGCAGUGGUAGAGUUGGUAGCCCCGUCAGAGUCGACAACAGUCAAGCUGUUGGUACAGAAGCGUCAGUAGGGAGGACGGACAUCAGGAUGGGGCAGGACCAAGCUGGCAGCUCCCCUCCUACCCAUCCUGUUGCAGGAGCAGAGUCAUGCUAGAACUAACAUUGACUGAGGCUCUCCUGUGUACCAGGCAAAGUUCCAAGUGCUUUAUAUCUACCUGAACACCCACAACAGCUCCUUAAGGUCUAACCUUCACGCUUCUCCACACCCAUAUGAAGAGACUGAGAGUAAGUUGCCCAGAGUCAUACAGCAGGACAGCAGUGGCUUCAGGAUCUGUGACCCAGCCCCUAUAUGGCAGCAGCACAAACUGCUGUGUCUAUCCAUGUACGGAGGCCUUAUAAGUGUUGCAGGGUUCGCACCAUGGAUAUCAAGGCCCAGAAACCCUGGCUGGCCUCGAACUCACAGAGAUCUGUCUGCCUCUGCUUCUGCCUCCAGAGUGCCAGGAAUGCAGGCACACACCUUACCCAGCUCAGAAACCCAUUCUUAAGAAGGAAUCAUCCCGGGCUGGAGAGAUGGCUCAGUGGUUAAGAACACCCGACUGUUCUUCCAGAGGUCAUGAGUUCAAUUCCCAGCAACCACAUGGUGGCUCACAACCAUCUGUAAAGAGAUCCGAUGCCCUCUUCUGGUGUAUCUGAAGACAGCUACAGUGUACUUAUAUAUAAUAAAAUAAAUCUUUAAAAAAAAAAAAAAAAAAAAAAAAAAAAAAAAAAAGAA